UACGUAGGGUGCAAGCGUUAAUCGGAAUUACUGGGCGUAAAGCGUGCGCAGGCGGUUUUGUAAGACAGGUGUGAAAUCCCCGGGCUUAACCUGGGAACUGCAUUUGUGACUGCAAGGCUGGAGUGCGGCAGAGGGGGAUGGAAUUCCGCGUGUAGCAGUGAAAUGCGUAGAUAUGUGGAGGAAUACCGAUGGCGAAGGCAGCCUCCUGGGCCAACACUGACGCUCAUGCACGAAAGCGUGGGGAGCAAACAGG
rnacentral:rRNA from 1 species